GUUCAAUAUUGAUCAUUAUUACAUCAAUUUUGAGCAUGCUCAUCAGACUUGAGCAUCACGUGGAUUGUAAUCAAUAUGCACGUAUGCUACAUGAAUUUCAUUUAAAUAGCAUAAUACCGUGUUUACAGGAGAUGCUAGGUCAUGAUCCAGUAUCAAUUAUUUUCAACACUAGGUUUUUAUUGGAGCAGCACCAACUCUUCGGUUUUAUUUUGAGUCAACAGAUGACGCCACUUUUCACUCUGUUGAGUGAAAAGUAGCAUGUGCGUGAGACGAAAACUGGUGUGCCACAAGUUUCCCUCUCUUGCCGAGACAUCAAAUGGAUUUAUAGAUGAUGGGAAUCAAAGAGCUAGGCUCUGAUUCCCCGAAUAAAUUAUUAAAAUGAUGGGAUCCGAGUCUUCUGGGUGAAAAGUCGGAGCGUUUCCAUGCGGUCAAUCCGGUCGCACCUUGACAGUUACGCUGUCCUAUUGGGCCGACUACUAACCGGACAAGACUUGUUGCGAUCAAAUAAACAACAAUAACAACAACAAAAAAAUGUAAACACGACUAAGAUUCCAUGACUAAUCUGUUUAUGUUAAUUACAAUACUGUGUGACCUAUUUUCAGUGAAUACAACUCUAUUCUAUAUUCUACUAUUUAACCAUUGUUCACUACGUGCCCAAAUACGUCAUAAAAUAAACUUUUUUUCCUUAUCUGUUAAAUUUGAGAUUUUGCUGUUGAAUUCUUGUACAUAACCAUAGUCUGUU
rnacentral:lncRNA from 1 species